UACGUAGGGUGCAAGCGUUGUCCGGAAUUAUUGGGCGUAAAGAGCUCGUAGGCGGUUUGUCGCGUCUGCUGUGAAAACUCAGGGCUUAACCCUGAGCCUGCAGUGGGUACGGGCAGACUAGAGUGUGGUAGGGGAGAUCGGAAUUCCUGGUGUAGCGGUGGAAUGCGCAGAUAUCAGGAGGAACACCGGUGGCGAAGGCGGCUUCCUGGCCUGUAACUGACGCUGAGGAGCGAAAGCGUGGGGAGCGAACAGG
rnacentral:rRNA from 1 species